rfam:Otolemur garnettii contig069061, whole genome shotgun sequence.
GCGCCUGUGGCCCAGUGGAUAGGGCACCAGCCUUAUAUACUGAAGGUGGUAGGUUCGAACCCAGCCCUGGCCA